rnacentral:sRNA from 1 species
GUCAAGAUGGCGGCGUCUGUAUUAAACAUCCUGCUGAGGCGGCUUCCUAUGCUUUCUCUCCUCCGAGGUUCUCACAGAGUUCAGGUUCCCCUGCAAACUCUUUGCACCAAAGCUCUCUCUGAGGAAGAUUCUUUGUCCCCAGUUCCCAUUUCUCCUUAUAAGGAUGAGCCCUGGAAAUAUCUGGAAUCAGAAGGUACCUCUAAAGGGGGAAAGGGAGGGUCAGAUAGGAUUUGAGAUAAGUGGGCAGAGCCACCCACUACACUCCCACCCAGGAAUAACUUGUAUGAUCUUUCAUUUCAGAAUACCAGGAGCGAUAUGGUUCUCGCCCCGUCUGGGCUGACUACCGCCGCAACCACAAGGGUGGUGUACCCCCACAGCGGACUCGGAAGACAUGUAUUCGUGGGAAUAAAGUUGUUGGGAAUCCCUGCCCCAUCUGCCGAGAUCACAAGUUGCAUGUUGACUUUAGGAACGUGAAGCUCUUGGAACAAUUUGUCUGCGCCCACACGGGUAUCAUCUUCCAUGCUCCAUACACAGGAGUCUGUGUGAAGCAGCACAAGAGGUUGACCCAGGCCAUCCAGAAAGCCAGGGAUCAUGGUCUCCUCAUUUACCACAUCCCCCAGGUUGAACCACGGGACCUUGACUUCAGUACCUCUCAUGGGGCUGUGAGUGCUACUCCGCCAGCCCCCACCCUGAUCUCAGGUGACCCUUGGUACCCAUGGUACAACUGGAAACAGCCACCGGAGAGAGAACUGUCUCGCCUUCGCCGGCUUUACCAGGGUCAUCUCCGAGAAGAGAGUGGCCCCCCACCUGAGUCAAUGCCCAAGAUGCCCCCUACAACACCAGCGGAAGCCUCCUCCACUGGGCAGACAGGCCCCCAGAGUGCUCUGUAGGGGCUGUAGACUGGGAAGAGAGGCCAGGCGUGGUGGCUCACUCCUGUAAUCCCAGCACUUUGGGAAGCCAAGGUGGGCAGAUCACUUGAUCCCAGGAGUUCGAGACCAGCCUGGGCACCAUGGUGAAACCUCGUCUUUACCAGAAAAUACAAAAAUUAGCUGGUGGUGGUGGUGCACACCUGUAGUCUCAACUAUUGGGGAGGCUAAGGUGGGAGGAUCACUUGAGCCCAGGAGGCGGAGGUUGCAGUGAGUUGCAGUCACACCCCUGCACUCCAGCCUGGGUGACAGCUAGACCCUGUCUCAAAAAAAAAAAAAAAAGACUGGGAAGAGAGCCAGAGGGACUAGGAGAUAACGUCUAUGUAGGUUUAUGUGAUGGGAUAUCACCCUGAAGAGUUGUGUUUUCUGUGGCCAAUGACAAAUCCAGGAAAUGAAUGUUGCUGAUAGGGAUAAAUCUUGAGACUGAGGGCGGGCAGUACAGAUGUGUAUGGGAAACCCCAACCCCUAUAUAUAUUGUAAAUAGAUGGGCUGGGCUAAACAUUGUUGCUGUUUCAUACUUCUACCAACUCAGCUUUUACACAAUAAAGCUCUACUCUCCUGCCUCUGGUUUGC